rnacentral:rRNA from 1 species
UACAGAGGUCUCAAGCGUUGUUCGGAUUCAUUGGGCGUAAAGGGUGCGUAGGCGGCGCGGUAAGUCGGGUGUGAAAUCUCGGGGCUUAACUCCGAAACUGCAUUCGAUACUGCCGUGCUUGAGGACUGGAGAGGAGACUGGAAUUUACGGUGUAGCGGUGAAAUGCGCAGAUAUCAGGAGGAACACCGGUGGCGAAGGCGGGUCUCUGGGCCGAAACUGACGCUGAUGCGCGAAAGCCAGGGGAGCGAACGGG